AUGCUGACGGAGAUGGCGCGCGGACCGCAGCCGCCGCUCAAGAAGCGCCCGCGCGAGGCCGCCCAUAGACCGCAUCCGCGCGUUUCUCGAACGCCGCGGCGAAGCGUUGGAAAGCGGCGUCGAACAUCGCGCCCAUCAGCACCGCGAGCAUCCGACUCCUGAACUCGUAGGCGAUGAAGAAUCCGACGACGCAGGCAUCAUCGGAUU
rnacentral:misc_RNA from 1 species